UACCUGAUAGGUGACAAUAAUCUUCAACUGCUAAAGUGGAUGUAGUUAUCUUCUUAGUCCAAAGCAAUCACUGGCAUUUCAUUUCCCAGGUAAUGGUUUUAUACCCUUUGGCUGCGGCUGAUCUACGAAUGUAAACACUUUUGCGUGACGUAAGAACGAUCAGUCUGACGUCGUGAGCACUGCAAAUAGUCUCAUGACGUUUACGUCAAUCUUGAGGUAUCUGUUACAAUUUGUGAGCUUCCGUUGUAAACUAUGCAUUUAAAAUCUCGAACGAUAUGUAUA